UGGGGAAUAUUGCACAAUGGGCGCAAGCCUGAUGCAGCAACGCCGCGUGCGGGAUGACGGCCUUCGGGUUGUAAACCGCUUUCAGCAGGGACGAAGCGAAAGUGACGGUACCUGCAGAAGAAGCACCGGCUAACUACGUGCCAGCAGCCGCGGUGAUACGUAGGGUGCGAGCGUUGUCCGGAUUUAUUGGGCGUAAAGAGCUCGUAGGCGGUUUGUCGCGUCGGAAGUGAAAACUCAGGGCUUAACCCUGAGCCUGCUUUCGAUACGGGCAGACUUGAGGAAGGUAGGGGAGAAUGGAAUUCCUGGUGGAGCGGUGGAAUGCGCAGAUAUCAGGAGGAACACCAGUGGCGAAGGCGGUUCUCUGGACCUUUCCUGACGCUGAGGAGCGAAAGCGUGGGGAGCAAACAGGCUUAGAUACCCUGGUAGUCCACGCCGUAAACGGUGGGCACUAGGUGUGGGACCCUUCCACGGGUUCCGUGCCGUAGCUAACGCAUUAAGUGCCCCGCCUGGGGAGUACGGCCGCAAGGCUAAAACUCAAAGGAAUUGACGGGGGCCCGCACAAGCGGCGGAGCAUGCGGAUUAAUUCGAUGCAACGCGAAGAACCUUACCUGGGUUUGACAUAUACCGGAAACACCUAGAGAUAGGUGCCCCGUAAGGUCGGUAUACAGGUGGUGCAUGGCUGUCGUCAGCUCGUGUCGUGAGAUGUUGGGUUAAGUCCCGCAACGAGCGCAACCCUCGUUCUAUGUUGCCAGCGGUUCGGCCGGGAGACUGCCGGGGUCAACUCGGAGGAAGGUGGGGAUGACGUCAAGUCAUCAUGCCCCUUAUGUCCAGGGCUUCACGCAUGCUACAAUGGCUGGUACAAAGGGCUGCAAUACCGCAAGGUGGAGCGAAUCCCAUAAAGCCAGUCUCAGUUCGGAUUGGGGUCUGCAACUCGACCCCAUGAAGUCGGAGUCGCUAGUAAUCGCAGAUCAGCAACGCUGCGGUGAAUACGUUCCCGGGCCU
rnacentral:rRNA from 1 species